CGGUGGUGUUGGUGGUGGCUUCACGAUUGGUGGUGUUGGUGGUGGCUUCACGAUUGGUGGUGUUGGUAAUACUGGAGGAGGAGGGCAUGGUGUUUCAGGUUUUGGUGGCUUCACGACUGGUGGUUUUGGUGUCACUGGAGGCUUUGGUGGCUUCACGAUUGGUGGUUUAGGGUGAAAUGGCGGCUUUACUUUGGGAGGUUUUACUGGUGGCUUAGGGUGAGGUGGGGAAGGGCAAGAGGGACAGGCAAUUGAAGUAAGCAAAGCGCCCAAGCUCAAAAGAAGGAUCACGAGAUUAGCCACAGCAAACUUAGCCAU
rnacentral:lncRNA from 1 species